UGCUCUAUUGGCUUAGCAAAAAAGAAAAAUCUUCAAGGAGGAGCAUUAAAAAAAACAUGUUUACUAAUCAGAUGGUGGCCAACCUGAAAGAAUCUUUCCUCCUUGCUCUCCUCAUCACCUGUGGAUGCUGCUGCUUCCUGCCUGAGGUCCUCGGCUGGUCAGUGCAUYACCUCCAACACMGAGAAGAGCAGCGGUACCAACAGAACCCACCUGUCCAUCAGAUGGUUCCCAGAACCAGAAGACGAUGGUGGAGCUGCAGCUUUCUAGAGUUUGAGGGCAGGACUAGUAUCUAGGAUAAAAAAAAUCAUAUUUCUCCUUUAGUAUUCAUUAUAUAAAUCCAUUAAUUGUGCUUUAGUUGUUUUGUGUCGCAGAAUAAAGUCCAAUCCUUUCUGGGUGUGGCAGGAAGUGAGACUGUGGACCAGUUUACAGCGGAAACGCCUCUGAAGCCUGGCUGUCGGGUUUCCUAUCUAGCUGCUCCGCCUCUACAUCUGGACACGCAGAAACGGAUCUGACGUUGAUAGGUCUAGACUGAACUGGGGACCUGGUGGUUUGGACCCAGCGCCCCGGAGGCCUGGGGCCCCGUCUGUUUCUACUUGAAUGACAUGAAGACGACAUGAAUGAUGUGAACAUCUGUAAAAGCCUCAGGACGUUUCCGGACAGGGACAGUGUCUGCUCCAGUGGGAUAAGAGAAGAAUCCAAACAACAUAUUUACAUAAAUGAGGGAAAAGUCAUCAAGAAUGAGAAAUAAAUGCACAAAUAUCUUUCCAGGUAAUAUAUGAGAAAUAGCACGACCAGAAUAAGUGGCAGAUCUUCUUCAUAGAGUUUUCAGAAUGAACAAUUUGUGUCUUUUUUGUAUUGUUGAAGGAAAAACUUGCAGGGAUAAAAACGAUGGAUUAUCUUAAAAGACACUUCUUUGAUCUCAUUAAUAAUUAAAUAUUUAGAUGGAAGACACCAGAUUUUCCCAGGGCAGGUUGGGGGCAAAGUUCUUCCAAUAAGAGAUAAAACAUUAGGAACAGAGACGAUGUCCUUCUGGAAUAAGGCUGGAACAUCACGGUUGUUCAGAUUUGAUCAACAUUAGUGACAGCAGCGUCUGGACCUGGUGGAGUCGGAACAGAAGUUACAGAAGAUUUUAGAGACCAGGAAAGAAGCAUUUGUUUGUGGAAAUUAGAUCGUUUUAUGGGAAGUUUCUCAAUUUUGUAGUUGCAAAGGAGAAUAAAUUUAAGGCCACCAAGUUCAGAGAAUAAAAAGUUGGGUAUAAAAUUCCAGAUUGAGGAUGGAUUUUUAAGAAACUGUUUAAUCCAGUUUAUUUUCAAUGUAUUAUUUCAGGUACAAUCAAGAAAAUUGAUGCCACCAAGUUCAAAUGAGUUCAUCAAGACGGACUUCCUGAUAUAAUGAAUCCUAUUUUUCCAUAUAAACCUAUAAAGCAUUUUA